rnacentral:misc_RNA from 1 species
GAUGAAGAACGCAGCAAAAUGCGAUAAGUAAUGUGAAUUGCAGAAUUCAGUGAAUCAUCGAAUCUUUGAACGCACAUUGCGCCCGCCAGUAUUCUGGCGGGCAUGCCUGUUCGAGCGUCAUUUCAACCCUCAAGCACAGCUUGGUGUUGGGACUCGCGUUAAUUCGCGUUCCUCAAAUUGAUUGGCGGUCACGUCGAGCUUCCAUAGCGUAGUAGUAAAACCCUCGUUACUGGUAAUCGUCGCGGCCACGCCGUUAAGCCCCAACUUCUGAAUGUUGACCUCGGAUCAGGUAGGAAUACCCGCUGAACUUAAGCAUAUCAAUAAGCGGAGGA